rnacentral:lncRNA from 1 species
GGUGUCCGAGAGUCAGCUGAAGAAGAUGAUGUCCAAGGUGAGCCCGCGCCCUACGGGGCGGCCCCGCGGGCUGGGCUAGGCCGCCUUCCCUCUGCGGAGCGGCCCUUCCCGCCUUCGCCUCCAUAAACAAAAGCGGGGUCGUGCCUGGCGCGGCCGCUGCUGUCUGCCCGGCGCUGCUGACGGUCCCCGCCGGCCGGAGCCCGGCCCUGCUCAGAACCAGUCCCCGCGCGCCUCUCCCCGGCCCAACCCGGCACAUCCCACCGGAGCUCGGGAACUCUUGGUGCAAUUGGUUCGCUGAAGUAGAGCAGCCAGAAAAUCGAGCUUGGCAGCCCUUCCCCGCUCCAGAGAACUCUGCAGUUGCAUUCCAUUGUUUGCAUUAACUGUGAUUAACGCAGUUGUUUGCUUGUUUACUUUGAGUUGAACUUAAAAAUUCUUACUGCUUGACUGGUUGUGGGUUUUUUUUUUUUCCUCUCACUUUUUAAAAGGCCUUUUGGAUAUUUUGCACAUUAGCUACUUAGUACUUAAUACUGCGCAUCGGACUCCAGAAUGCCUUGCUUUUUGUAAUUUACCAAAUUUAAUUGGAAUGAAAUUUAUGUAACGUAGUUGAGCCCUAACUCCUUUAGUCAUUGAAGUUGACUUUGAUGCUCUUAUCAGAGCAAUAAUAGAGAUCGUGGGGUUAAGAAGUUUCUAGUUUACAAGGAAACACGAAUACGCUGGGCGUGGUGGCACAGGCCUUUAAUUCCAGCGCUCUGUAGGCAGUUGACGACAGAUCAGGACAGAUUGUGAGUUCCAGACCAGCCAGGGAUACACAGUGAGACCGCAUUUCAAAACAUAAAAUUUUUCUUUUCUUUUUUUCUUCUUUUUUUAUUCUUUGUAAAACUAGAUCUUUUUUAGUAAAGUCAUUUCCCUGAGUCCUUGAAGACCAAACCUCUUGUCUCUUGGUUGUCUAACCAUUUAAUCUUUUAGGCUUCCUUUUUUUUUUUUUUUUUUUCCCUGUAGUUAUCUGUAAUGACACAGGGGUCUGGGGGAAUGUACGAGGUCCCGGUAAAGGUCGAUAUAGUACUGUUUUACCUUCAAAUCAUUUGUUUUUCAAAGCCUCAAUUAAGCUUUUAGAAGAUGUAGCCCAUUAACUUCAUCUGAUUGGGGAUCUCUGUCCUUAUCAAGACAUUCUGGCUCACCCAGAGAGAGAGACAGACAGUUUUGGUGUUUUAACCUCGCUUCAGAUCAUUUUUCUCCUUUGAACAUCAUCUUAUCUCCCAUCCUAAGCAGACUUUUUUAGCACCAUUUUUGGUUGUGAUUUUUACCAAUUAAGUAUAUUUCUACAGUUAGUCUAUCGUUCUUUAUGCAAAUAACUCUCUACUUUGUUCAUACCAGUAACCUGUUUUUUACAUACAAUGUUUUACAAUAGAAGAUGAGUCACUACUAACUGGGGAGGAGAAAGUGGUCAUAAUAAAAGUUGUUAUUGAGUUUGAACUGGUGCCAUACAUGUUUAUGGGUUGGGAGGCAAAGGGAGGUAUAUCUCUUGAGUUUGAGGCCAGCUUGGUCUUCAUAGUGAGACCCUGUCUCCAAAACACAAGCUGCUAUUGUUCCAUAAAUUGUAGGGAUCUGACAGUGGGAUCAACCAGACUAAAACCUGUACUUCUGAGCUUGAUUACGUGGAAGCCACUAUCAAAGUCAUGGCAAUAGCAUUGGG